rnacentral:lncRNA from 1 species
AACGAAUUUUGCGCAAUGACUGCUGGUCCUCUGCACUGACAUCAUUCAAAGACUUACUCCCUUGCUCAUCAGAAAGUUUUUGAAACAGUCUUGAAAAUGUUCCAUCUGACUCUGUGUAGACAGGGCUUGCCCAGCUCCUCCUGUUGUCUUCGUUCUUCUCCGUUCUUUUCUUCCUUAGGGGUGCUGGCAUAUAUGUUGGCUGCUUGUUUUUGGUGGGUAAGAAGCGAUUGAAGUCAGUAGCAGGUUUUGGUUCAAUUACAGAAAUCCUUCGAUAGGACCUGUCAUCUUUAUGGGAGUCACGCAUCUUGAAAGGCAGUUCUGAGUCUGUGUCACUAUCACAGCCUUCAAUGCCACCUUUCAAGGUUAUGUCUGAUGAAAAGCUUGUGGAGGACCUUGAGCCAAGAGAGUCUAAGCUAUCCAAAGAAUCGUCUCUUUUGUGGCUUGCUGAAGAUGGAAAGGGUUCCCC